rnacentral:piRNA from 1 species
UAGGUGAGACGUCAUCUCCAACAAGGAAGAC